AUACGUAGGGGGCUAGCGUUAUCCGGAAUUACUGGGCGUAAAGGGUGCGUAGGUGGUUUCUUAAGUCAGAAGUGAAAGGCUACGGCUCAACCGUAGUAAGCUUUUGAAACUAAGAGACUUGAGUGCAGGAGAGGAGAGUAGAAUUCCUAGUGUAGCGGUGAAAUGCGUAGAUAUUAGGAGGAAUACCAGUUGCGAAGGCGGCUCUCUGGACUGUAACUGACACGGAGGCACGAAAGCGUGGGGAGCAAACAGGAUUAGAUACCCUGGUAGUCCACGCCGUAAACGAUGAGUACUAGCUGUCGGGGGUUACCCCCCUCGGUGGCGCAGCUAACGCAUUAAGUACUCCGCCUGGGAAGUACGCUCGCAAGAGUGAAACUUAAAGGAAUUGACGGGG
rnacentral:rRNA from 1 species